rnacentral:lncRNA from 1 species
UGCUGCUGCCCGCGGAGCGCAUCCCGCUCCUCCGGCACCGGCGGCGUGCUCCUCCCAGCCAGCCUCCUCCAGGAGAACAAAAAUGUGUCGUUUCACUGUCCUUAUAAUGCACAGAGGAAAUAGGAUUAGGUCCAAAUAGCAGCAAGGCUGACAAGAAUUUAAGAAAGGCUCCUAAUGACCAAUACAGGCGCUGUUUGGGAUCCGGGCGGGAUGAGCCAUCUCGGAUGGAGAAGCCGAGCGGAGACACCGCGGCCGGGGCCCCGCGCAGGAUGAACCCAUCCCGGCCCUCCGAUUAGCUUUUAAUUAGAUUUCCUGAUUAUACGCAUGUUUAAAGGACAAGAUUGCGUGUUUAUGGAGGGAGAUUUCCUCAAGAGUCUAUUUGAUCAAACGUAUUUACAAUAACUCCGGUGGUUAAACAUUGUCACAUUUUAGGAGACGGUUUAAUGGAAGUGUGAUUUUAAGAAGAGAAAAAGUUGCAGAGAAUGG